GGAACGAACGCUGGCGGUGUGCUUCACACAUGCAAGUCGAACGAGGUAGCAAUACCUAGUGGCGGACGGGUGAGUAACGCGUGGGAAUCUGCCUUUAGAUGGGGGAUAACGGGUCGAAAGACUCGCUAAUACCGCAUAUGACGAAAGUUGAAAGGAGUAAUCCGUCUAAAGAUGAGCCCGCGUCCGAUUAGCUAGUUGGUAGAGUAAAAAGCCUACCAAGGCGACGAUCGGUAGCUGGUCUGAGAGGAUGAUCAGCCACAAUGGGACUGAGACACGGCCCAUACUCCUACGGGAGGCAGCAGUGGGGAAUUUUACGCAAUGGGCGAAAGCCUGACGUAGCGACACCGCGUGAGCGAAGAAGCCCCUUGGGGUGUAAAGCUCUGUCAGCUGGAACGAAAAAAAUGACGGUACCAGCAGAGGAAGCAUCGGCUAACUACGUG
rnacentral:rRNA from 1 species